rnacentral:rRNA from 1 species
UGGCUAACUCCUACGGGAGGCAGCAGUGGGGAAUUUUGGACAAUGGGGGCAACCCUGAUCCAGCAAUGCCGCGCGAGUGAAGAAGGCCUUCGGGUUGUAAAGCUCUUUUGUCAGGGAAGAAACGGUAGUAGCUCAUAUCUAUUACUAAUGACGGUACCCGAAGAAUAAGCACCGGCUCACUACGUGCCAGCAGCCGCGGUAAUACGUAGGGUGCAAGCGUUAAUCGGAAUUACUGGGCGUAAAGCGUGCGCAGGCGGUUGUGUAAGUCAGAUGUGAACUCCCCGGGCUCAACCUGGGAAUUGCAUUAGAGACUGCACGGCUAGAGUGUGUCAGAGGGGGGUAGAAUUCCACGUGUAGCAGUGAAAUGCGUAGAUAUGUGGAGGAAUACCGAUGGCGGAGGCAGCCCCCUGGGAUAACACUGGCGCUCAUGCACGAAAGCGUGGGGAGCAAACAGGUUUAGAAGCCCGGGUAGUCAAGCUGG